CGUAGGGUGCGAGCGUUAAUCGGAAUUACUGGGCGUAAAGUGUGCGCAGGCGGCGUCGCAAGUCGAGUGUGAGAGCCCCGGGCUUAACUUGGGAAUUGCGCUCGAAACUACGAUGCUGGAGUGUGGCAGGGGAAGGUGGAAUUCCACGUGUAGCGGUGAAAUGCGUAGAGAUGUGGAGGAACACCAAUGGCGAAGGCAGCCUUCUGGGCCAACACUGACGCUCAUGCACGAAAGCGUGGGGAGCAAACAGGAUUAGAUACCCUGGUAGUCCACGCCCUAAACGAUGAUGACUAGUUGUUGGGGGAGUUAAAUCCCUUAGUAACGCAGCUAACGCGCGAAGUCAUCCGCCUGGGGAGUACGGUCGCAAGAUUA
rnacentral:rRNA from 1 species